UACGGGGGGAGCAAGCGUUGUUCGGAUUUACUGGGCGUAAAGGGCGCGUAGGCGGUCAGCACAAGUCGGUUGUGAAAUCUCCGGGCUUAACUCGGAAAGGUCAACUGAUACUGUGCGGCUAGAGUGCGGAAGGGGCAACUGGAAUUCUCGGUGUAGCGGUGAAAUGCGUAGAUAUCGAGAGGAACACCUGCGGCGAAGGCGGGUUGCUGGGCCGACACUGACGCUGAUGCGCGAAAGCGAGGGGAGCGAACAGG
rnacentral:rRNA from 1 species